GGUGAAAAACUAAUGAGUUUUCAAGCUGUUCGGUCAGAGUGCUUGUUGCGCUCUCUAAACGAACUGAAAUAUAAGACGGCUUAGGCUUCAUGUUGCAGUGAUAUGAAAAUGGUGUCUGUGGAUCUUUUUGUAUGCAAAAAUUUGUAAUAAUUAUUUGAAAUCAUUUUGAGGAUUAUUAGAGUAUAGAAAUAUAUGUGAGAACACAUACUAUUAUAGUUUUGUCCUAUUUUUUAUCAUUCAAUAGUCUUCUUAAAAUUUAUAAAUAUAAAGCAGAUAGUUUUCAUUGAAAUUCAAUAUAUUGGGUCUUAUUUGUAUGUAUUCAUUUUUGACUAAAGGUACGAUUCCGAUAACGACUGCAGACAGCAACUGCAAACAUCAGUUGCAGUUCUCGGCGUUAUGGACGUUACUACUUUGCACUAUUUAUCUGUAUGAGACUUAUUCUGACAUCUGACUGCAACUGCUGUCUGGCAGAACGUCAGUUGCUAAUAAUUAUGCAAAUUAUUAGUGCAAAAUAAUGACGUCUGUCAUGGUGACAACUGUAACUGCCAUCUGCAGUCGUUGUCGGAAUCGUACCUUUAAAGUGUGUGGUAUAAUUAUAAUAAUUAUAUAUAUUAUAUAACUUAAAUGGUUUAAACUUAAGUUUGUUAUUACAUUGUGACUUAAAUGUUUAAUUUGUUAAUAAAUGAUUUAUUAGUUUA